ensembl:rRNA 5S_rRNA 5S ribosomal RNA
GCUUACGGCCAUACCAACCUGGCUAUGCCCGAUCUCGUCUGAUCUCGGAAGCUAAGCAGGUUUGGGCCUGGUUAGUACUUGGAUGGGAGCCCGCCUGGGUAUACCAGGUGCUGUAAGCU